CUGUCCCCGUCACCUCCUACCCCCAGUCCUCCACAGCUCACUCUCAUUCUCUCCUUCUAGAAAAAAGCUCACUCAUCUCAAGGUCACUUCCUGUGACUCCCCCAGCGCCGGCGACCGGACCCCGCUCCCCUGCCUCUCCGCCGCUGUCCUCGAAGGCGUCCUCCUCCUUCCGCUUCCUCCAGGCGACUGGAGACUACGCGGCUCUCGCGGAGGGCUAGGUGACCCAGCGGGAUGCGCCAAGGGAGGUGGUCAGGUGGAGGGGCGGAUCUCGUCUCCACGGGAUUCGCUGCCGUGGCCUCCACCACCGGAGUUCGGUGGCUCUGAGUCGGUCUCCUCUCCGCCACCGACGCCGUCCGCCGCCGAAUGAGCUCCUUCCUACAUCAGAUGUCUUCAACGCCGCCGACCAUGGCGGCAUCACUCUGGCCGGGCUCACUACCGACAGACGGUCCUCUCCGGCUUCCUCCCCUGCGAGUGCAUCACCCACGGCUUCGUCUACGACGCGCAGAAUAUGUGAGAGACCAUUAAUCUUAAUCGUCGCUCCACCAGAGGUGGAGGGGAAUACCUCGUCUCCACUGGAUCCGCAGCCACAGCCACCGCCACCGGCGUUCGAUGCCUCUGCGUCGUUCUGUAAUCUUAACCCUCACUCUUCUUCACACGGCGGCAUCCGAUCGGACGACGAUGAUGCUGGAGGUCGACGUGGCAGGGACAUCGACGCCCGUGGAUGAGGCAAAGGGGCUCUGAAUCGGCGGCUGGAGGAGGCCAUCGGCGGGCAGAUAAAUAAAGAGUUUAAAGCUUAUGUUGAGCACGCACGUAUCACACUAAUAUGUAUGCAGCAAAUCAUGAUACAAAUACCAAAAUUUUAACAUAUAUUGUGAUCUUUUAUCAUGUAUUUUACCGAGCCAUUUAUGCCUAAGAGGUGUGAGAGCGCCUAAAACACACAAUCCACACUUACAUAAAAUUUACAAUCACAUAAAUGUAUUUAGAAUUAGUUGUAAAAAUACUUAAAAACAUAAACUAAGC